rnacentral:sRNA from 1 species
GUUUAGCCCAGACGGCAGUGGCAUCCUUUUUGUUUUUGCCCCCGCUUUUUUUUGGGGCAAAAACAAAAAGAUAUAACGGACGGCUGGAACUGUC